rnacentral:rRNA from 1 species
AUGAACGCUAGCUACAGGCUUAACACAUGCAAGUCGAGGGGCAGCAUGGUCUUAGCUUGCUAAGGCCGAUGGCGACCGGCGCACGGGUGAGUAACACGUAUCCAACCUGCCGUCUACUCUUGGACAGCCUUCUGAAAGGAAGAUUAAUACAAGAUGGCAUCAUGAGUCCGCAUGUUCACAUGAUUAAAGGUAUUCCGGUAGACGAUGGGGAUGCGUUCCAUUAGAUAGUAGGCGGGGUAACGGCCCACCUAGUCUUCGAUGGAUAGGGGUUCUGAGAGGAAGGUCCCCCACAUUGGAACUGAGACACGGUCCAAACUCCUACGGGAGGCAGCAGUGAGGAAUAUUGGUCAAUGGGCGAGAGCCUGAACCAGCCAAGUAGCGUGAAGGAUGACUGCCCUAUGGGUUGUAAACUUCUUUUAUAAAGGAAUAAAGUCGGGUAUGGAUACCCGUUUGCAUGUACUUUAUGAAUAAGGAUCGGCUAACUCCGUGCCAGCAGCCGCGGUAAUACGGAGGAUCCGAGCGUUAUCCGGAUUUAUUGGGUUUAAAGGGAGCGUAGAUGGAUGUUUAAGUCAGUUGUGAAAGUUUGCGGCUCAACCGUAAAAUUGCAGUUGAUACUGGAUAUCUUGAGUGCAGUUGAGGCAGGCGGAAUUCGUGGUGUAGCGGUGAAAUGCUUAGAUAUCACGAAGAACUCCGAUUGCGAAGGCAGCCUGCUAAGCUGCAACUGACAUUGAGGCUCGAAAGUGUGGGUAUCAAACAGGAUUAGAUACCCUGGUAGUCCACACGGUAAACGAUGAAUACUCGCUGUUUGCGAUAUACUGCAAGCGGCCAAGCGAAAGCGUUAAGUAUUCCACCUGGGGAGUACGCCGGCAACGGUGAAACUCAAAGGAAUUGACGGGGGCCCGCACAAGCGGAGGAACAUGUGGUUUAAUUCGAUGAUACGCGAGAAACCUUACCCGGGCUUAAAUUGCAGAUGAAUUACGGUGAAAGCCGUAAGCCGCAAGGCAUCUGUGAAGGUGCUGCAUGGUUGUCGUCAGCUCGUGUCGUGAGAUGUUGGGUUAAGUCCCGCAACGAGCGCAACCCCUGUUUCUAGUUGCCAGCAUGUAAAGAUGGGAACUCUAGAAAGACUGCCGUAGAUAAUACGGAGGAAGGUGGGGAUGACGUCAAAUCAUCAUGCCCCUUAUGAUUUGGGCUACACACGUGCUACAAUGGCGUAAACAAAGGGAAGCGAACCUGCGAGGGUGGGCAAAUCCCAAAAAUAACGUCCCAGUUCGGACUGUAGUCUGCAACCCGACUACACGAAGCUGGAAUCGCUAGUAAUCGCGAAUCAGAAUGUCGCGGUGAAUACGUUCCCGGGUCUUGUACACACCGCCCGUCACACCAUGGGAGUCAGUAACGCCCGAAGUCAGUGACCCAACCGUAAGGAGGGAGCUGCCGAAGGCGGGACCAAUAACUGGGGUG